rnacentral:rRNA from 1 species
CGGGGCGCAGCAGGCCGGAAAACUUUACAAUGCUGGGAACAGCGAUAAGGGAACCUCGAGUGCCAGGUUACAAAUCUGGCUGUCGUGAUGCCUAAAAAGCAUUAUAUAGCAAGGGCCGGGCAAGACCGGUGCCAGCCGCCGCGGUAACACCGGCGGCUCGAGUGGUAACCGUUAUUAUUGGGUCUAAAGGGUCUGUAGCCGGCCGGAUAAGUCUCUUGGGAAAUCUGGCAGCUUAACUGUCAGGCUUUCAGGGGAUACUGUCUGGCUCGAGGCCGGGAGAGGUGAGAGGUACUUCAGGGGUAGGGGUGAAAUCUUGUAAUCCUUGAAGGACCACCAGUGGCGAAGGCGUCUCACCAGAGCGGACCUGACGGCAAGGGACGAAAGCUAGGGGCACGAAUCGGAUUGGAUACCCGGGUAGUCCUAGCCGUAAACGAUACUCGCUAGGUGUCGGCCACGGUGCGACCGUUGUCGGUGCCGUAGGGAAGCCGUGAAGCGAGCCACCUGGGAAGUACGGCCGCAAGGCUGAAACUUAAAGGAAUUGGCGGGGGAGCACAACAACGGGUGGAGCUUGCGGUUUAAUUGGAUUCAACGCCGGAAAUCUUACCGGGACCGACAGCAACAUGAAGGCCAAGCUGAAGACUUUGCCGGAUUAGCUGAGAGGUGGUGCAUGGCCGUCGUCAGUUCGUACUGUGAAGCAUCCUGUUAAGUCAGGCAACGAGCGAGACCCACGCCCACAGUUGCCAGCGUACUCUCCGGAGUAACGGGUACACUGUGGGGACCGCCGCUGCUAAAGCGGAGGAAGGAAUGGGCAACGGUAGGUCAGUAUGCCCCGAAUAUCCCGGGCCACACGCGAGCUACAAUGGUUGGUACAAUGGGUAUCUACCCCGAAAGGGGACGGAAAUCUCCUAAAACCAAUCUUAGUUCGGAUUGAGGGCUGCAACUCGCCCUCAUGAAGCUGGAAUCCGUAGUAAUCGCGUUUCAACAGAACGCGGUGAAUACGUCCCUGCUCCUUGUACACACCGCCCGUCA